rnacentral:rRNA from 1 species
GUGGGGAAUUUUGGACAAUGGGCGCAAGCCUGAUCCAGCCAUGCCGCGUGCAGGAUGAAGGCCUUCGGGUUGUAAACUGCUUUUGUACGGAACGAAAAAGCUCUCUCUAAUACAGGGGGUGAAUGACGGUACCGUAAGAAUAAGCACCGGCUAACUACGUGCCAGCAGCCGCGGUAAUACGUAGGGUGCAAGCGUUAAUCGGAAUUACUGGGCGUAAAGCGUGCGCAGGCGGUUAUGUAAGACAGAGGUGAAAUCCCCGGGCUCAACCUGGGAACUGCCUUUGUGACUGCAUAGCUGGAGUGCGGGAGAGGGGGAUGGAAUUCCGCGUGUAGCAGUGAAAUGCGUAGAUAUGCGGAGGAACACCGAUGGCGAAGGCAAUCCCCUGGGCCUGCACUGACGCUCAUGCACGAAAGCGUGGGGAGCAAACAGGAUUAGAUACCCUAGUAGUCC